rnacentral:misc_RNA from 1 species
CACACACGUGUGUGGCGGGGAGCUAGCACAGCUGGGCGGACGCCGCCUCACCAUCCUCUCGUACCCGGCACGGCACCUCCCCCGCCCUCCGACCUUCUCCCGCAGCAUCGGGCGUUCUCCUCGCCCGCUGUGCACCGGCAUAACGACCGCGCGCGCGAGAGAGAGAACGCGGCGUCGCGAGUCGUCAACCAGGAAUAUGUGGUCCUGUAGCUACAGCGCGUUGGUAUUUCGUUCAUGCACGCAGCUGCCGGUGGACAGAGCCGCAGGGAGGGCUGCGGAAUCCAUGGCGGCCACCCCGCCAACGGUGAGGCCGACUCCGUGCACUCACCGCCGCUCGCUAACGCCCGCCGCGCACUACAGCAUAUUGUGACGGAGCUUCAGCAGCAGCACUGGCAGCAUCAAGUGGUGUCGUCGAGUACUGCGGAUGAGGACGGCCGAGCCUCUGCCGAUGACAGCACCCCCUCACAUCUUGCGAUCUCUGUACCGCGCGCCUCGACCUCUUGCACUGAUGUGGCGUGCUCGACCUCGCCGGACACGGCGGAGCAGCAGUGUGAGAGGCGUCGCCUACUUUUCCUGGCAGAGUGGGCGCAGCGAGUGGCAGCGGCGUAUGCGCCAAUCAUGCCGUCUGCUGCGCAGGAGGCCGCUGCAUCGUUGCUAAUGGUGCGCCCCGUCACGCACGACGCCGUCACGCGGGACGCGGCCGCAAGUGCAGCCGGCACGCCACCGGCUCCCUUCACUGAAGCGCAGCGGCGACUGGCUGAACCGGCCGUGGUCGCUGCCGUGGCGGACGCCGCGCUGGAGAGCAACGCUGCCGCGUCCACCUCAGGAACCAAAGCAGACCUGCCGCCGGUGCGCUGCGCGAGCGUGCCAGUGGAACGGCGACUGAGCUACCCGGACGGAUGCGCCAACGCACAUGCGGACAGGGCCGCGCCCGUCUCGGCUACGACCCAUAGCGACCUGCUGUUGCUCCCGCACACGAUCAGGACAGCAGCUGCCGCAGUGUCGCGCUUGUCCUCUCCCCCGCCGCCGAUCCUUCCGCGCGGUCGCGCACCGCUAUGCCGUGUGGUUGGUGAGCCCUUCGACGUGCCCACCACCCGAGCAGAGCAGCAUGCUGUCCUCGCUGCGCAGGGUGGUUGUUGCGCUCGAUGCGGCGUCGUCUUGCCGCAGCCGCAGCUCCACUUCUCUGAGUGGUGCUCUGCGCACACUCGGAGCAUCUGCACAAGACUGGCCGGCUCGUGUUGCUACUUGCCGCGCUGCUGCUGUGGCGGUGGCCAGACGACCACAUUGUCGCCGCGUCGAGGCAGAUUCUGGCACGCGUGCAUGUGCAUGUCGAGAUGCAGCUCUUCGGCCGAAGACGAGGAGGACGGGGGAUCGGCUGCCGUGACUGCAGUCCACGUGACACAAGAAGCCACCGGCGGCGCUGGUGGUGGCCGCGGAGGUGUACGGCACAACGCAAGGGCUCCGCUGGACGCACCGGAGAGCGAAGACUUUGGUGGCGCCGCAAGCGAGCGCGACGGGCUGCUAGCCGGAGGCACGCAGUCGAAUAGGCACGCCCGCACGCGGGCCGCUUGUGAUCACCACCGCAGCGACAGGACCGGUGACGACGGCGGCGGCACGCCUGCUGAUGCAUCCUUCCUCUUCUGUACGUAUGAGGGCCACUACUUGUGCUUGCGCUGCUUCCAUGCCCCGCUUACGGCGGCCGGCCUCGGUGCAGCGAUGUCGACAGCAUCCGCAGCGGCAGCAGGCGCCGUCGGUGGCACCUUCAUCCCGGAAGACUACCAGACGCGCUGUGUCGCAUCGGAGGGGUGGCAGGCACACGCCUUUUCGACAACGUCUUUGUCUUCGUCCUCCGCGUGGUUUCAGUCGCGCCGGCGCGACAACGGUGGUGGCGAAGACGUUAAUGGGUCGUCCGCGCGCGCAGCUCUUGCAAGAGCGUCGGAACAGUUGCAUGAGUGGUGGCUCGCACGCCACGUGGCCCACCUCACGCCCGCCGCUGGCACCCUCACCCUCACGGGGAGUAGAGCCGCUAGUGGGCUAGAUCAUCCACCACAGCAGCAACACCAGAAGCACACUGCUUCACCUCUGCACCUGUGCGUCCUCCCUGCCCAUGUGCUGCAUCGAUGGGACUUCACACGCUUUCCUGUGUCUGCCGCGGCGGCCGCCGUUCUGCGGCGGCGAUGCUACCCCGGCAGCGCUCACGGCCGAGAGAGCUACCUCUCCCCGGGGGCCUCCAGCCUAGAGCGUGGUGGGCAGCGCACCACCGUAGGUGGUGGUGACGGUGUCAGGAGCAGAAUGAGCGGUGAAGGCUCUCCGAUUUUGCUCCCUGGGGAGCAGCAGGGAGCGCGAGGGCAUCAGAGCGCUCCAGCGAGUCCUCCCCCGCCGGCCCUGGAGCACAUCCCUUACCUUAGCGGAGAGGCUGGUGGGGCAGCCCCGCCGAUGGUGCAGCUUCCUGAGCUCUACGACGUGUCCGCCAUCAACCCCUCCUUGUACGUGCGCGUCCCGGCGCUCGCCUCCGCAUUGCGGCUACGGCAGCGGAUGAGUCUCCUGCACGCGCAGGCUUGGUGGUGCCCACAGUACAGGCACGAAGUCUGGGGGCUGCGGAGUGGAGACGAGCUGGUAGGUGAGGGGCUGGAAGGGGCGGCAGCGCUUUCUGUGGCGCAGCAGCCACCAGGGCCUUCCUCCACGGUAGAGCAUGCCCUGAAAUACCCUCCAAGUCCGGCAGCAGUGGUGGAGAGCGCGGUGGGCAGCGCUGACUUCUAUCUGCUGGCUCACGAUGUAGCCCCUCCUCCCAACUCCUCAUGGGCGGCGUCGUCGGCAUCACGCUCGCACAGCGUGGCAACUCCGCAGACAGCGUCUCUCUCUGCUCUGUCCAGCCAAGCCCACGGCAACCUCUCUGCCCGAGUCGAUGGAACCUCCUCGUCUCACCGACACCCGUCCGCAGCGGGCGUGGCGGCAGUGCCACUGACGCCGCCGACGUGUGCGCGCUUCCACGCGCGCCGUCGCUAUCUUGUGGAACGAGCUGAAGGCUGGUCUCUCCAAGACCUUCGCCGACUGGCAACGCCGUCGUCGUCGACCUCCGCUAGUGCAGCCGCCGCCCCUUCGCCGCCGCUACUGCUCGCAGAGCUGCAGAGCAUGUUUGAUAUUAUGCAAGCGCACCUCAAUAACUGCAGCGGCUGUGCAGCGCAGUGCCACGGAUUGAUGGUAAAGGCGCCCCUCGGACUGCCGGUGUGUCGUGAUUGAGGUGAGUGGACGGAAGGGAGGACAUGUAGCCCCGUGUGAGUCUCUGCCUAUGUGAUUUCCUUCGCCUUCGUGUCCCCUCAGCUGUGCUUGUUCUCG